GCCAGGCGCGGUGGUGCACGCCUGUAAUUCCAGUGGCUCUGGAGGCUGAGGCAGGAGGACGGCAAGUUCAAAGCCAGCCUCAG
rnacentral:sRNA from 1 species